rnacentral:lncRNA from 1 species
UAAGCUUGAUCAUGGCUCACUAAAAGAAACUAGGCAAAUAGCCAUCCAAAAGUUGUCUACUUCUAUUCUUAUCUUUGUAUCUCUUGUCAGGAUGGAUGUUAAAAUUAGAUUACUAUUUGUAUUUAUUGGUUAGUACGAUGUAGCUUUUGUUAAGAAAAUCUUUUUCUGAAUGGGUAGAGCGAACAAUUUACUCAAUACAUAGUGGUUUUGUAUUACUAAAACAUUCUUAUAUGAUGAUGCGAUGCCAUAUAGGUUCUAAAUUUCUAUAUGAUUCUUAGGUUAUAUGAUAAUGGUGAAAGCAAAUGCUCUGUUUGUAAAUUGAUUAAGAAUGCUUAAAGUUUAGAUUGAUAUUUGCUAAUUGGGUAUCUAUUGUUUUUCUGCUUUUCCCUCAUUGAUUAGGUGAGAUCCUUGGCUGCAGAAUCUGAUAGAGGUUACCAAAUAGGCGUAUUGUUACGAAGCUUACUACGGUCAUUUAGAUUGCCUACAAUUAAUCCUUUCUGCUGCUCAUUGUACUCUAGUUGCAUAAUCUUGUUAACUAUUUCUUACCUAUGUUACCUUACACUAAUAUACACCAAUGUUUGUCUAUUCAAAACAAUGAGCUAAUUAUUGUGCUCAAAUAGGAAGUCAGAGGAGUUUUGAGAUUUGUUAAUAUAAGAGAUGGAAGUGGUGCAACUCCGUUGAAUUUGGUAGUUUGUCUAGGAUGACGAAAUUGUGUUCAUAAUCGAGCAGUUGGGCUUUUGUAUGUGUCUAUGGUGGAUAUAUGUACUUUUAUCCAGUUCUUUAGCAUUUUCCUUGUCUAUAUCAGUUAUAAUGACAACAAUAGUUGCAGCAAACCCAGGGAAUACACCUCUUCAUUUUGGCUGCAUGGGAUGGUUCUUUGGACUAUCUGAGAAUUGCUUGCUUGAGGUGCUGAAGUUGUUUUGGAUGUGAAAUUAACAGGAACAAACUUAACAAACUACUUUUGAUCUGUAAGACAGAAUUCUGUUUAACAUGAUCCUCUUUCCAUCAUGAUGAAUAAUUUCCCUGACCUCCUUUAUUCACCCGUGUCUGCACACCAGGCUUCCACCUUAAUUUUAUCGAAAAUCUCAUAGUAAAGGCAAAGUUCUUAUUGUUAAUGUGUUUUAAAGAUCAACGAGACGUGAG